AUGGUGCAAGCGUUAUCCGGAUUUACUGGGUGUAAAGGGAGCGUAGACGGAUAGGCAAGUCUGGAGUGAAAGCCCGGGGCUCAACCCCGGGACUGCUUUGGAAACUGUUUAUCUAGAGUGCUGGAGAGGUAAGUGGAAUUCCUAGUGUAGCGGUGAAAUGCGUAGAUAUUAGGAGGAACACCAGUGGCGAAGGCGGCUUACUGGACAGUAACUGACGUUGAGGCUCGAAAGCGUGGGGAGCAA
rnacentral:rRNA from 1 species